AACUGAUGAUGUUUGUUAUAUAAGAGUAGUGGACAGAAGAUGGUUUCUGAAACAAAUUUUGCUGAGGUU
ensembl:snoRNA